GGACAUACGGGAAGCGUUGAUGCGUGGUCCUUCGAACCGGUCGCCUUCGGAGCACGCGGAGCAGUGGCGAGCCCGAUCCCGUCC
rnacentral:ncRNA from 1 species